ensembl:lincRNA
AGGCUGCUUGUUGUUCGGGUUUCACAAGUUUGCCCUCUGGUUUUACUGUUAAAGAGAGGCCAUUGUAACUGAGAACUAGCUUCGAAUACAGCUGCUGCUACAUCUUUCCAGGCUUAUGAGAUAAUCCUGUUUUUGGUAGCCAGGUAUUUAACAUCUGUCUUUCAACGGGUAACUCUCAUCUACUUCUCCAGAACCAAGUCUACAUGAGGCCAUGUGCCUGCUGCCACGCUUCACACCUGGAUGAUAAUGGACUCACCUCUGGAUCUGUAAACAAGCCCCCAAAUUAUAUGCUUUCUUUUAUAAGAAUUGCUUUGGCUAUGAUGUUCUUCACAGCAAUAAAAUAGCGAUGAAGACAGUAGUUGAUACCAGGAAACCGAGUAUUGCUGUGACAGGCAUGACCAUGCUGUAUAUUGGUAGAAUGUGAACUUUGGACUAGAAAAGUGACUGAGUGGUUUAAGUCGGGAUUUUAUGGGCUAUACUAGUAGCAAGGACACUUGUAUUGGAAAAGUGUAGACAAGUGGGAGACCAGCACAGGAAGUUGCAGAGGGAGAAAUCAUACAAAGUGAAUACAAAGCAACCUAGUGACCAUUCUUGAUGUAUUUCAGCAAAGAGGUGGCUGCUUUUGCCCAUGUCCUGAAAAUCUGCCCGAGUUUUUGAUUAAUGAUGGCAGAGGAGAUGUCAAGACAGCUUAGAAUUGAUCAUAUCAUAUGGUUAUUAGUAAUCACUCUUAUUUAGGUCAGUAAUGGAAAAGAUAAAGCUAGACAUAAAGAAAUACCAAAUGUACAGAUUGAGGGGAAAAGAAAGCACUAGAGAGUGUAAUGGAGCUAAGUCCAGUGCUUCUAGAAGAUUAAAUUUUAAAGAAAAAAUUGACACUAAGUGGAAUCAAAAGACCAGUAACCUCAGGUAAGAUCCUACUCAGUUAAGGUUCCAACUUGUAAAAGGGAAUUAAAGAAGUUUAAGCAGUGAAGGAAACUAUCAAGAAGGGAAAGCUGAUGCAAAUGUAAAUGAAUCAGAGGGCCAAGUUCAGGCCAGCAAGCAGCUGAAUUUGGCAGCUUUAGCCAAGUGGUUCUGGCCUUAGAGUCAAGGAAAUCAAGAGAGCAAGUCCUUACAAUAUACAAAGGAAUGGCUCUUCCCCCACUGGCUAAGAAAAGGUGCUGAGUCCAGGCAAGUGCUGUGGGUGUUGAGGACCCCCUGCAGGUGUCCAUGCAGUGAUCCAUGAAGAAAUGAAAAUGAAACCGUGGUUCAGAUAGACUUCGUCAACCUAGAUCAAACUUCGGGGAGUUUAAUGCUAGGCCAUUCAUUGUCAGCAUAUUAAAACAUAGUACAAUUUGGGAAAAUUACUAAAUAUUUUCCCUUUAAGUAAAUUAUUUUAUUCUUUUUUGGAAGAUUUACUUAGUUUUAUUUUAUUUGGAAAGAUGAAUAAAUAGUAGAAAAUGUAUCUAAUCCAUUUUGUAAGGAAUAUUGAAAUUAUUCAAAAUAAAAUAUCUGGUUGUGUGAUUUGU